AUGAUCCUGUUCACUUCGAGGGGUCCCCAGUCCACAUCCUUGCCCGGGGCCUCGGCCUGCAGGAGGAGGCGCCCAGUGAGCUCCUGUGUCCCCUGGGGCCGCAGCUGCAUUCCACGCCUGUCCAGCAGCUCCUUGAAGAGGCCAGCAGGGCCCCUCACCCUCCCAGGUGACCACACUGGGACAAGAGCUGAGCAUGGGAGGGAGCCCUGGAGGACCCCAGCACCCAACAGAGGUAGCAGGAGACUAUGGGUGGGGCCAGGGCAGCCCGAAGACAGCCCUCACUCUCUCUCCUCUUUCUACCCCGCCCGCUGGAGUCACCCUGAGGCUGAAGAUCCAGGAGAAGCUGGCCAGGAUUGGGGAGAUGCUACCAACUGAGAACUGCAUCACCCCGGGGUCCUGACCCCUGUGCUACUACUCACCCCACUCCUUGCCACCCCGUUCCUGCCAAUCCCACUCCGUCUUCCUCCCUUGUGGCUGAAACUGGGCCCCCCAGCACAUUCUUGAAUGAGUGUUAGGGGUGCCAUCUGCAAUGCCCACCUGGUCUACCCUAGACGCUGCUGAGGGGAGCAGAAGAGCUGGGCGCCCUGGAGGCCUAUGUGGCUCCAGGUGACCCAGCAGAGUAUUCUUUGCCUGGCCUGGCAGUGACACUGUCUGAACCCUCAGAGGAAGUCAGAGUUGUCAUCUGCAUGGGAUCACAUCAGUGUGUAGGUGUGGACUCAGGCCACCCUUGGCAUCAGUGCUGGGGUGAACACAGAGUUCCACUCUAAUCCCGCCCCCCCGCCGUGCACGUAAGAACACCCAUGCGUGAAUGUGGUAUGUUUUACUCCAAUAAUCAAAUUCCUUAUCUAUUUCUAAGAAGACAUGUAACGUAUUAACUUCUUUAUAUUUUUUUUCUUUAUAUUUUUUUCUUGAUAACUUGUACCCUUUUAAAAGCUUUUUUUUUUUAAUGUCCUUUUUUUCUUUAAAUAAAAAAAUAAAAAAUUCCUCAUCUA
rnacentral:lncRNA from 1 species